CUUAAGGGAGAUGCAAAGUGACCCUCACGCUCCCAGUACCUUCCAUGUCCUGAUGACAUUCCUUCAGAGCAUGAGCCAAAGUGAACCCUUACUUCCUUGAGCUGCUAAGUAUUACAUCACGGCAAAGAGAAAUAUAACUCACAGAACUCCAUGCUCGCUAGACACGGUGGUGGGAAGAUACUUGUCAUUGGACUUAAUGCCACCUAGCAAACCAAGAUGAUUUUGACCGGGAAGACUUAAUUGCAUCUCUGAAGACCACUUCCACUCCUACUAAGGUUACUUAAUAAGUGCUGAGUCUCGCACAGAAAUUCAACCUGCAUUCAACCCACCAUAGGGGACGCAAGAAUUCUGUAUCACCUCCAGCUUUCUGUCCAAUGGCAUGGAGUAUUCAGGUGGAGGAGCAGGGUUGCCUGAAUAUGACGAUCUCCCACCCAGGAGCAGAAAACUCUGACUACCCUGCUGGCUGCUGGCUGCUGCCUCCUGGGGAUGCUCCCAGCCACUACGCUGGGGACUUAUCCAGGUAACUCUGCUGCCGCUGCCCAGCAGGAGGCUUUGGACCUGUUUGACUGUUCAGUACUCUGCUCAUCCCAUCUUCUGUCUCCAGCCAGCCAUCCUUGUUUAACUUUCUGGAAGAUGAAUGUCUCCUAGGUUGUCUUUGGAAUCCCAUUUCUUUGACUUAAAGAGGCUGACAGGGUGAGAGAAACAAAGGCUGUUUAGGAUUUGAUCUCCCCUGAUUGUUUCUCUCUCGGUAAAGAGGUAAAUAAAAGGGAGGGGGAAGAAAAGAAAGAAAAAGGAGCCUGGGCUCAGCUCACCAGCUGUGGGUCCCUGAUGGGCCUGCCUGACGCAGUCACAUUGUGCAGGGGCUGGAGCACCUGUGAGGAGUUAAUGAGAAAAAUCCAGAAGUGUGGCUCCCACAAGGGCUCCCUUUAGAGUCCCACAGGGAUGACCCCACCCCUCCCCUGGCAAGUUUCAAUGACAGGUGGGAUUAAUCUCAGCAGGCUGUCCUUUGGAGACACUCCAUCAUCUCCUUUCUAGCUGGAAAGAGGGGUUCACCAUGUCAAGUUCUAGUGGUUUUCCUUGGGAUUUUAGGGUUUGAAGCUGUUUCUCAAGGUAAAGCUAAAAACCACAAAUAAAACGUUAAGGCUCCCAGGGGUGUCCUCCAGUAACUCAGCUGCCUGAGUCAACACGAAGCUGUCUGAGAAUCAAGAAGUUAUUGGUAGUGAAGGUCAGUCGGUAUCUUUGCAUCUCAAAUGGGUAAACUGAGUCCCAUUGAAGGCCUUGGCCAGAUCACUGCAAGCAGUUCGGUGUGGGGAAGGGUGAAAUCACCUGCUGAAGGGCAGCGUGGCAUUAGGCAAAGCUAUAAAAAGCUUACAUAUCAGAUGAGGCAGAGGACUGUGACCGCCUGGAGAAUUGGUGGGAGGUGAAGCAGCUGGAGAAAUGUCUUAGUGAAGGCGGCCAUAAGCAAGGAUUGGACUUUGUUACGGUCCCUCUCCUUGGAGAUUAGAAUCAGACAAAAGAGGUAGGUAGGUAACUCACUUUGGGUUCAUGGUGUCAGAGCAUCUCUGUUGUGCCACAUGCUCUGGAAGGCACUGGCUGUGCUAACCCAUAUGUGCCACUGUGAGAAAAAGGUGUGCCAUGCUCCUCAAAGCCAUUGAUUGAGAACGUCAGAAGUCAGAGGACCUGAUUGGUAGAGGUAGAUUUUCUUCACGCCUGCUUCCAACUGGUGCAAGCUGCCACAAAUGUCUAUGUCCUUUGAGCAUGGACAAGGUGAUCCCUGUCCUGUGUUCCUCAGGAGUCUAGUAAGGAUCAA
rnacentral:lncRNA from 1 species